AAAGAUGGCGACCGGCGCACGGGUGAGUAACGCGUAUGGAACCAACCCGCAACAGGGGGAUAACCCGGAGAAAUCCGGACUAAUACCGCAUGGUACUCUUUACACAGAAGUGUGAAGAUUUAAAGAUGCGAAUCGGUUGCGGACGGUCAUGCGUUCCAUUAGCUAGUUGGCGGGGUAACGGCCCACCAAGGCGACGAUGGAUAGGGGUUCUGAGAGGAAGGUCCCCCACACUGGUACUGAGACACGGACCAGACUCCUACGGGAGGCAGCAGUGAGGAAUAUUGGUCAAUGGGCGAGAGCCUGAACCAGCCAAGUCGCGUGAGGGAAGACGGCCCUAUGGGUUGUAAACCUCUUUUAGAUGGGAGUAAAGUGUUCUACGCGUAGGAUAUUGCAAGUACCAUCAGAAUAAGCAUCGGCUAAUUCCGUGCCAGCAGCCGCGGUAAUACGGAAGAUGCGAGCGUUAUCCGGAUUUAUUGGGUCUAAAGGGUGCGUAGGCGGGUGAUUAAGUCAGCGGUGAAAUGCGUCAGCUUAACUGGCGAACUGCCAUUGAAACUGGUUACCUUGAGUGUAGCGGAAGUAUGCGGAAUGCGUGGUGUAGCGGUGAAAUGCAUAGAUAUCACGCAGAACUCCGAUUG
rnacentral:rRNA from 1 species